rnacentral:rRNA from 1 species
UACGUAGGGUGCGAGCGUUGUCCGGAAUUACUGGGCGUAAAGAGUUCGUAGGCGGUUUGUCGCGUCGUUCGUGAAAACUUGGGGCUUAACUCCAAGCGUGCGGGCGAUACGGGCAGACUUGAGUACUACAGGGGGAGACUGGAAUUCCUGGUGUAGCGGUGAAAUGCGCAGAUAUCAGGAGGAACACCGGUGGCGAAGGCGGGUCUCUGGGUAGUAACUGACGCUGAGGAACGAAAGCGUGGGUAGCGAACAGG